rnacentral:tRNA from 1 species
GCUGUGGUGGGCCAGUGGUAGAAUUCUCACCUUCCAUGUGAGAGAUCUAGGUUCGAUUCCUGGCCAAUGUA